AUGUUAAGUGCUUGCAUUUAAUUGAUCCGCAUUGAGACGAGUGGCGAACUGGUGAGUAACACGUGGGUAACCUGCCCUUGAGAGUAGGGGAUAACACUUGGAAACAGGUGCUAAUACCGUAUAACAACCAAAACCACCUGGUUUUGGUUUAAAAGAUGGCUUCGGCUAUCACUUUAGGAUGGACCCGCGGCGUAUUAGCUUGUUGGUAAGGUAACGGCCUACCAAGGCAAUGAUACGUAGCCGACCUGAGAGGGUAAUCGGCCACAUUGGGACUGAGACACGGCCCAAACUCCUACGGGAGGCAGCAGUAGGGAAUCUUCCACAAUGGACGAAAGUCUGAUGGAGCAACGCCGCGUGAGUGAUGAAGGGUUUCGGCUCGUAAAACUCUGUUGUUGGAGAAGAACAGGUGUGAGAGUAACUGUUCACAUCUUGACGGUAUCCAACCAGAAAGCCACGGCUAACUACGUGCCAGCAGCCGCGGUAAUACGUAGGUGGCAAGCGUUGUCCGGAUUUAUUGGGCGUAAAGCGAGCGCAGGCGGUUUCUUAGGUCUGAUGUGAAAGCCUUCGGCUUAACCGGAGAAGUGCAUCGGAAACCAGGAGACUUGAGUGCAGAAGAGGACAGUGGAACUCCAUGUGUAGCGGUGAAAUGCGUAGAUAUAUGGAAGAACACCAGUGGCGAAGGCGGCUGUCUGGUCUGUAACUGACGCUGAGGCUCGAAAGCAUGGGUAGCGAACAGGAUUAGAUACCCUGGUAGUCCAUGCCGUAAACGAUGAGUGCUAAGUGUUGGAGGGUUUCCGCCCUUCAGUACUGCAGCUAACGCAUUAAGC
rnacentral:rRNA from 1 species